GUUUGAACUUGGCUGUAGGUAGCGAGGAGGAGGGCUUAAGAGGGAAAACGUUUUGAGAAGAAAGAAAGAGAGUGCGUGCUGGCAGAGAAAAGAGGCAGUGCGUGGUAAGAAGUUGAGUUCUCAAGACGUGUGUAAAGUUGCGCUCCAGCCAAGCAAAAGUAAUUGUUAGUACACGUAGACUUUAAGUGAUUAUAGUAAUAAUUAGUGAUCCAAAUCAUUGUUGUAACUGUAGUAAAUAGUGAGUUUGAAUAAAAACCAGUGAUUUAGUUAAAGUGCACUGAUCCUGGGACCUUUGUUGACCUUAUUUCUACAGGAGUUGCAACGUGAGAGAAAGGACAUGUUACAUCAUCAUCAAGUAAGUCAUCGGUCAAGUCGUGUUAGUUUGCCGUGAAUUGGUGUUUCGAUUCGAGUCAUAGUUGGAAGAGAACCGGCACCACAGGCACCACUUGCACCACCACCACACGGACCUGGUGCACCACACAGCACCACCACCACUUGCACCACACGUGGAACCAAUUAACCACCAACCAGUCAAAAUCAAGGAAACCCUUACGAAGCGGAAGUCACGUGGGAUUUACGACCCCACACAAAGAUAAGUGAGCUUCAGUGAGCCGCUCCGUAACAGUUCUCAUUAAUUAAAAAUGUUCUCUUAAAGUGGAGAAAUGCUCCCCUUCAACCAAUCUGGACGUGAGAUCGCUUUCCAGCUCAUCGUUCUGGGAAUGAUCUGAGGGUACGGAUAAAAUGGUAGAACUUAUGGAUACAACUUACCCCCCAUAUGUGAAGAAGGUCCAGAAAACUUUUAUAAUGCUUUAUCAUCCUCGCUUAUCAUACAAGUUUUUAAGAGAAAAAUAUAAAAAAAUUAGCUCCGUCAAUAAUGCGUAUUUUGUAGUAGGGUUAGAAUAUUUCCUUCCAUUUUUUAUUGUAUUCAAUACAUAAGUAUUUUAUGAGCACGGUUACCAGAAUUGCCAUUAACUUUCUUAGGGGAAUGAACGAGAAUAUUUAGAAAGGAUAUUUUAUAUAAAUUUGAUAACUGUAGGUUUUUUGCAAGUAUUACCAUAAUUUGUUUUUAUAAAAUAAAUUUUUAGGAACUUUUUAUUGUUCUAAAUAUGAAAAAUUAAGUACAAAUUCAGAGAUAUAAGCUUAAGGAAAUGUAGUUAACGGACGCAUGAGAGUAGUACUGUGACAGUACCGACAGUAUCGAUAAUAUACCCGGAGAACAUAUUUAAUUGUAUUACAUUCAAAAACAAAUCUGCGCAUGAAUGAUUAUGAUUACGAAACAAAUUUCUUUGCAUUUAAUAUUUAUAUAAUGAAAAUUCGGACGAAUGUUUGCCCAUGAAUAAUAUUGGCGUCAGUUUAUGAAGUAAAUAAAAAUUUAGAUCUUCUCCAAAUUCAAGCGGAAUCUUAAACAACUCCUUGUUCUAACAAACUCCCCGCUUCGAUCGCCCAAACUAUCUUGCAUGUCACAGUGCCCCGUAAUAUAGCAGAGCCGAUACGAGUUAUCUGUACCGUGGAUAAUAAAUCCUUCCGGGGAUGGCCGGGUUGUGUUCAAAGUUUCUGUGCUUUCCGAGCUGUUGUCUUCGUCCAUCUUGAAAAUGAUGGGGGUCUGACUGUCCGAUGUUGCUGUCCACUUGAGUGAGACGUCAUUUUCGAAAAAAUCUUUGACGUAAAUAUCGAAAGAAUAUGUUUUGUCUAAAGUGUUUCUGUCUCUUCUAUGGAUCUCUUGUAGAGAAAGAUUAAUUUGCUGGGUUCUGUACACCUAUACAAAAAUGUAUUUAGGCUGCCAAGUUUGUGAUAAAUUUUAUUCCAUUUUGUAAGAAAUUCAUUACUAGUGCACACUUUUUUUUGUUUACAUUGUACAAAUAUGUAUUAGGGUAAAUUAAUGUAAAUGUAACUCUAAAUACCUUGCCAUCUUUCCAAAUCCACGUUUCAUCCUUCUUACCGCUAUGGACCUUCGCCCCCAUAGGAUCCGUUGCCAGGUUUGGUCUCCAAAUGGUCAUCUCUCGAUUUUGAUCAGUUCUUUUGAUCAAAUUAAAAUUCAUGACGGGACUUCCUGGUUCUAGGAGAUAUUAAAAAUUUAUGAAAAGUCUUUCUGAAUUUUUUGUCUUAAUAAUUUUUAAAACGUUUAAACAUACAGCGUGGUCCAUUAAUUCGAUCACCUCCUAGAUUUUACGUUUUUGGGGCGGUUAUUUUUAAAUAACUUUGGAGUGUGACGGAUAAUGAAUCCAAUUUUUUUCCCAUGAUGAGUCCAAAUAGUAAGCUAUCAAAAAUCGAAAUCCGAAUUAAAAUCCAAACAUUUUUGGCUGAACGGCAAGGGGUCAUAGGGAAUCCACAAUAACUUGGAGUUCACCGAAAUACCGUGUGGAUAUGGAAAAACUGAAAUUUUUUUGUGGACAAACCGAUUUCUACUCGACCAACAUAGCUCUCCCCUACAAUAAAAAUAUGAUCAAGACCCGAUUAUACCUAAAAACGGACAGUUUUGUGAGAAAGUGUGUCAAGACCUAAAACUUAGCCUUCCGGUUUAUUAGGAAAACCAACACAAUUAGCCGAUCAACAGUCAGCUAACAUCUUAAAUUGACAGGAUGUGGUAGUAUAUCUUUCAAGAGAUAUAAAAAACCGCUACUGAGGCAAAAAUAUUUCAGAUCGACUAAUAAUCAAGACAUUUGUGGAUCAAAAUGGGUAUUUGUCAGGUGGGAAACGAGGUGCCAAAAAGUGGUCAAAUAUUCUGUAUACUGACGGGUUGAGGAUGCAAAUUUACCCUAAACAAGGUCCUCAGAAGCAUCCAGAAGAAAAAAGGGCAUUCCAUAAACGUUAACACCUAAAAACUGAUUGAAGAUCAUGGUUGCAGGUAACUUCUGUUCACGCGGAGUUACCGAAUUACAUAUUGUCCCUGGUGGCGCUAGUUUCACUGGACAGUAUUAUCGUAAUGAAAGCUUUCUUAUUUAUUUGGAUACACUAGAUUAUAGAAAGUCAUUCCCAAGCAAGAAAAAAAUUACAUUUAUGCAACAUAGUGCUCCAGCUCACAUAGCAAAGGCGACAAUGCGCUUUUGGAGGAGCGAGAAACAACCACUUGGGGAAACGGGGUGUGACCCGGAAACAAUCCAAAUUUGAAACCACUGGAGAACUUGUGACCUAUACUGAAAAGUUCAAUAUAUGAGAACCCAAAACUAACCAGCAGACAGGUGAUAUUCAAAAGGGUUCAAAAAAUGUGGAAAUCUCCACCCGUUUCACUUUUGGAAAAUCUGGCUCGGAGUUUCAAAAAACGAAUCGGGGACAUGAUGAGUGUCAAUGGAGGACACACCAGAUACUAGGUAACAAGUAAAUGAUGGGAAAACAUUAUCUAGAAAGAUUGUUCCAAAAAAUCCGACGCUGAAACAUUUGAUACUAGGGAGGUGAUCGAAUUAACGGACCACGCUGUAAUAGUUUUCAGGAAAGGUCAAGUUCGUUAAAAUUUAAAGAUACCCAAUUAUGAACUCUCUCGUGUUGAAGGUAUUAAGAUAUCGAAAAGCUAAUCCUCAGCCUAGCAGAAGCUUUGGUAACUUAAAAAUUUAAUGUAAACCUGCUAAACAGAGGAUUCCAGAAAAAAGUUGUAAGUGGAGAAGAUAUGAAUAUAAAAAAUUCAACAAAAAUUGUUAAUUUAAGUAGAAAUAAAUAGAAAAGUUAUUAAAUUUCCUUGCAAAGAACUUAUGUAUAAGGAACUUAGGAAACAUUUACAAGUAAAAAAAAACACUAUACCUUUACUUUCAUCCUUGACUGUCAAUCUUUCAUCUGUCCAUUCCUGAACGAGAAGAAAGUUGAGGUGAAGUUCGUCACACCUCCCGAAAAUCAGAGUUACACGGGACAACGAAAUUUCGAUGUGGGUCGUCUCCUUAUUUUUCCUACCUGGUGGUGAACUGGCGUCAUAAUUGUACCAAUACUUUGUUUCCCACGUAUCUGACUCCUCGCCCAAUUUUAUUUCUGGCACUAAUGUGGACGCAGAUUUGACCAUUUCAUUGAACAUCAUCCCAAGGGUAAGGAGGAGGAUCAGUGAUACGAUCAUAAAUAAAAUUAAUGUGAGUCGUAUCAUUCUUGUUAAUGGUUUGGGUUCUUGUUCCGUGUUGUUGGACAUGGCAGCUGCUAGGAAAAUGGCUUCCAUCGGCUUAGCUUUUUAGUUCUUUAAGUGUAGGCAGUUAAUUAUAAUUUGUGAAAAUUUUAAUAAUAACUCAUAUAUGAAAGGAGGAUUUGUAUUUUUGUCGCAGAUAAAUUUAAAAGGAUGUUAAUAAUACACAAUUACACAUAUACACAAUUUGCAAUAUUAUUGAAAAAUGAUGUUUUACAAAUAUCAACUGCGAUGAUGUUUAUAAAUGUGGAUAUUUGUGGGGUUGAUGGUGCUCUGUAUGCGAGUUGUUUGUGUAAAAGAUGACUUGUUGAAGAAAGUUCCUCUACACAUGUUUAGCAGAAUGGAUUGUGUUUCGAAUUUAGAGAGAGAAGAAACGAACCAACCCGACUCCUCACUUUCUCCACUGCUUUCUCGGGUGUUAUUUUAUACUUUCGUAUGCAAGUUAUCCAUUGCAAAGAUACAUGGGGAAAACUAUUACACAUGUAAACACUUGAUAUUUGGGUUAUGAUCCUGAUUUUCGUGUUGCAUGUACUGGCACGUGCAAUUGUUGAAGUAUGGGAAAUUAGGUGUCAAAUCAAAGUAUAGGUUUUUCCUUGGGUUUUAUAAGAUUUUAGAUUACUAUUAAUUAGAUUUUCGAAUUCAGCAUAAAAUUCUGAGUAUUUAUAUGUGCCACUUGACUCUUGAAGGGCUAUUAUCAUAUUUAGCCGAUUUUCCUAUGCAUAUAUAUAAACAAGGUCCCAAAAAAGGGAUAUCUUGGUGAGUGAGGAUAGGCACAAUUAAAUACAUUUUUACUGUAGAAGGUUUGCAUCACCGGUCGAGUUAUACGAUACCCUGCUUGAGACAUGGUAACGAGCGUAACAAAACAGUCAUUUUUAAAAUUGACAUUAUACCUAUCGUCGAUUUCACUCCGAUCUUCAAAAUUCUUGAAACAUUAGAUGCACAACUACUUUGUGCAUCAUAAAAUCAGCGCUCGUGUCAAUACAUGUAGUCGACCGGAAGUAGGUCAAAAUUCAAUUUGAAAGUUUAGGAUCGAUUUUAAACAUGCUAUAUGUAAAGUUUUCAUACGUUUGAAAAAAAAGGACAGCAGCAAAUGGAAUUAUCUGCACGAUUGCUCUCUUGUAAAAUUUUGAUAAGUGUAGUCGUUUAGGCUGUAGAGCGCGGUCAAUUUCUGGAGGGGGUGUCUGUUUACAGACUGGGCUUCGCCGUAACCAUGAGUCAUACUUUUUGCCACAUUCAUGCUUACUUUUCGCUCAUAAGAAAAAAACAUUCUUUUGACUUGAAAGUUGAAGUCAUACAUGAAAAUGCUGAAGGGUUGGGUUUUCUAGAAAACAUCGGGGUUUUCCGAACCCUGGUACGUGGUCGGAAAGUAUCUGAACUGAAUAUGUACAAAUACAGAUACUUAUGUUGCUAUCCUAUCCAUAUUUAUGUUUCGGUUCAAAUUCUAUACACCUGAAAUUAUCAACUACAUACAUCAACAAUCCGUAAAAUUUAUCCGGUCAUACUAAUGCACAAUUUGUAUGGAAAAAUAUGCAUGCUAAAUUAUAUGUAUGUUGAAUUACCAGAUAAAAUUUCAAUUUAAUAUCUCGUACUUUUUUGACUGAUACAUAUAUUAUAUUUAUUUUUACCACAAUUGUAUUACUUUUUUAAUCCGUCUUAAUGAAGGCCCAAUGUUGUCCCACGUUACCGCAGUCGAGCCAAAACAACGUGCCGACCUCUGACCCGUAUGAUGUCAAACAUUUAUUUGUCCUUGGGUGGUUGAUUAUGUAAUACCCACUAUCUGGAAGGAUGGAGAGUUCUCUCUCCAUCAAGAAACAGAAGGGAGGAUAGUCAUCGUACGUGAUUUUGUUAACGAGAUGUCCCUCUUCGGGAACGAUGGAGUGGAGAGUCAUUAAUUCUUGGCCGGCUGGAAAUGAAGAAAAAUAUGCAUGAUUGUGGGUCAAUUACAUGUUGUAAUCAAUAAUAUUAAAAUUCCACACAUUGCUAACUACAUAUUUCUGCCACUGGGAGUAAGAAUGAGGGAAGAAUGGGAACCUAUACAUAUUUGUUUUAAGAAGCCUGGUGGUAAUUUAGGUUAAAAAAACCGAAAUAUAGAGGUUUAUUUUUUUUUACUUCUUUUUAAGAAAUUAAAAAACAGUACUGCCGAAAUAUUUAUGAGUGACUUUUAAUUAAUGAAUUUGACGUACUUAUGUGUUCCUGCUCUUACUAAAAUUGUUAAUUGUAGCUGUCCACUUGUACCGAUCGGCAUAUGGGGGUGUCAGUCUCCAAAUUGAGUCAAUAUCUGCGAGACGUUCGCACACCUUGCCGUAACCGUUGGGUCGAACAAUCUUUGCACAUAAUAUGGCAAAUAAAUAAAUAUAAAUACUCAAGCCUUUCAAUUAUGUGUAACUAUUCGGAUUAAAAAUUCUUACGCCACCACCAUCUCCAAUAUUUUGCAUGACAAAGACAUCCCCUUCUACGGGGAGGUAGGCGGAUGCGGAGAAUAUUAUUAGUUGUAGGUUGACGAGGAAUAUGACGAUUUUUUCCAUGUUUUCUAACACUUGGAGAAUAUGUAAUUCGUUGAUGGGAUGAGUUACAAAAUUGGACUGAAAACCUUAGUGUGAAGAAUGGUAUUUUAUCAGGCGUGAUAAUCAAGUGGUAAAAGAGUUGAUAAGGUUAUCGAGAACUCUCAAUGUCUACGUAAUACUUCAAUUGUUUUUCACUGGAAUAUAUACAAUCACAAAAACUGGGUGAUGAUUACCAUUAGCCACGAUAUUUAAACUCGAUCUUGCGUAACACAUCCCCAUAAGAUUUAUAGGCUCUUGUCUAACUGGGAAUUUCCCAAAUAUGUAUAUGGAUUAUGGUCUACUAAUAGUGAGCAAUUAGGGAUUUUGUCCAGGAAUGGUACUGCCACAUAUGUACAGUAUAUCUCAUAGUAAGUACUUGUAGAUUAAUUAAAAUAUUGUGAAUUCUACAUCUAGGUAUAUUUCACGAUGGCGAAAAAAGACGUAGAAAGCAUAAUAUGACGUAUUACAUGCUCUUGUUGUCAGAAAGAGAGAGGAAAUUGGUUGGUGAGUUCUCGUCUAGAAUUUUCACUAGUCUUCCAUACCUGGAUUUUGCAUACACGAAUGCAAAGAGUUACUAAUUUUGUUAAAUAGUUUUUGGAUAAGCAUGUAUUUAGGUUUUUCUUCUAAUACGAGAGCAUUUUUUUUGAAAUAACUAAUAAUUUUGGAGAGUUUUCUUACAACUUGUUUAACUUUCGUAACGCGAGCAGGUGUUGCAUGCGAGAACCGUCUGGUAUUAUAUAAAUUCGGGACAUGAAAUAUAUAUAUGAGUUGUAUACAUACAUGUCUCAUCUUAUCUCCAGUAUGAGAACAAGAGAUACCAAUAUACACGUGUGUGAAUUGUCUCAAUGUGCCUAAAUAUUGAGUUAAUCAAAGGUGUUGCAGCCUUCAUAAAUAAAUAUGUACAAAAUGAUGAUUAGAAGUGAAUAUUUUAAUAAAUAAAUUACAUUCAGAUUAUUAUUUAAAAAAUGAAUCCCCCAACCACGUACAUUCAGAUACAUAUUUUAUUUAUUGUUCAUAUGUACCACAUUAACUCUCUUUGUCAUGAGUACAUGUACAUAUGUAAAUAUGUAUCAAAUAUUUGAAAAUAGUUUUAAGAAGUAUCCAGUAAAUACUUUUUGAAAGUUUAAAAUUUUUAAACACGUGUGUGAGUCCUGCGCGUAGGUGCAAACUCUUAGCAAUUUUAUGUAUCAAUUUGUACAAUAAUUUAAUAAAUAUGUAAUUCUUAAAAGGCGACUACACUAAUAUUUUUUAGAACGCGUGUGUGUACAAUGAUGGCUAAUUACAUACCGUCCAAGAAAGUGACACAUUUGACGAUCAGGUAUAGAAAUUCUGCACAUUGUCUCCUUCCCGUCUGUUUUUACCUGCCAGACUCCAUUCCAGGUUAGUCUACGUGGCUAAAAUGAACAAUGCAUUUGUAAAGGGUUCGCCAAAAUAUGUAAGGCGAGUUGGUUUUUUUGUUCCCGUUUUGUUGCUUGAAUUUCUAACUGCACAUGAAAAGGAAACAGUCGUAAGUAAGUGUAUGCAAGUUCGUAAUAGUUUUGGGUAAACAAAAAAACUGAAAAAAUAUGGGCAUUCCAUGCAUCCCGAACCCUGCACGAUAAAAGUGCAUGUGACGCUUUUCUCCAGGCGACCAUCUUAAUCAUAAAACCAGGCUUGUCCUUCCAGUUUACUUUCACCCAUAGGUUUUCUUAAUAUUUCUGUCCGGUUUAGUUUUUAUAAUUUUUUUGAUUCAAGAUGUAAUUAUUAUUAAAGUUCAUCUUGAAAUUAUUUUGGGAUGUGUUUUUUUCUAAUUAAGUAUCGUAGUGUUAAAAAAAAUUAUUAUUAAAGUAUUUGGAAAAAGAAAUUCGUCUAUAUUCGUCACACUACCAUAUUGUAGUGUGAGGUUUUUAUAAUUUUAAAAUCUUUAUUCAUUUCAGUUUAAUUUUGGUUUAAUUAAAAGAAUAUAUUUAUCUUAAGCUUAGCGAAAUCAACUGUUAAUCAUACUCGAUCAACUUUUUAUCAUAUUUAAAUCCCAGCCAGCUUUAUUUAAGAUGCAGACUUAGUUUUAUAAAAGAUAUAUUAAAUCAAAAUGUCUACGGCCCCCGCCCCCCAGAAACCAACUGUACCACCUGAGGCCCCAAUAUCCGGCAGAUAUCCUAUGUUGGCAGCAUUGGUGAGAAAAUUUUUGGGGACGGGAGGUCCGCCAAGAUGCAGUGGGUGUGGAUGUGAUCCGGAUGGGAAUCCGGUUCCGGAAUCUUGGUGGGUCCGGAUCUUCUCCACGCUGCCUGGAUUUAGACAAAGUGUUCGCCCAGGUUUGAGCUCCUUGAUGAGGUAAUAUCAAAAUUGUUUUUUUCUAUGGCACGCGUCCCCUUAAAAUAAGCUAGAUCAGUAUAAAUGAUCAGAAAAUUUGACAUUAUUUGCUUUGAGGUGAAUAUCCAAUAAAUGGUUGCUAGGUUACCAUGGUGGUCUGCACUAAUUAAUAAGCAUAUUUUUUCUGUUCUUAUUUCUUGUGUCUAAUUUUUUUAAAGUCAUCCAUUUGUUUUUUAUGUUAUUGAAAAAAGGAAUUCAUCAAGUUAUAAAUGGGGAAUAAUAAUUUGCAAUACAUAUUUUAUUUAUUUUGCCACAGGCAACUUUAAAUUAUGCUUAAAUAAUUUUAUGCCGAGACUUAUCGCAAGGAAAAUACAAUAUAUAUAUACUCAUCCGGAGAGAUUAAAGUUGCUUGGGAGAUUGCUUGUUGGGUGGUGGUGACAAUUAUUUUUUCGUGCAAAAUUUUAGAAAUAUCAAGCACGAAUUUUGGGAUUUUCAUCAAAAACGGCAUUUGUUUGAAAUCAAAUUCACGAAAUUGCAUUGACAAAUUUUAAAUACUUCAAAAGCCUUUACUUUAACAAUUUUUAUUGACAAAUUUAUUGAAUUUUAUGCAAAUUGGAAGAAUUUUAAUGCACGGUCUAUGAGUACAUAUAACGAAAACUAUUUGAAUCUACAGGACCCGAUCUGUUAGUUAUUAGCUAUUAGUUAGCUAGCACAAUUCAAUACUUUUAACACGAAAAUACUAUUUUUUAAUCAGUUCAGUGGAAAAGGAUAUACACAGUAUACCCUUAUACAUACACAGUCAUAGUAUACACAGUCAGGGUAUACACAGUAUUGCAUGAUAAAAAAAUAUCGUAUACAUUAUGUCAUCAAUCAGAAAUUUCUAAUAUCACAUUGCUUCACAAAAGAUGCAUCGCAGAAAAAAACUCUCAACACAAUGGUGUAAAAAAAUGUCCAUAAACUAGCUUGACUAGCAAAAUGAGUUUACACAUUGACCACCCCCUUCAGUUCCUUCCCUGGGGUGAGUGUUCCUAGAUAAAAUGCCGGCGACGUUCCCGAGUUAAACGGAUACGCUGAAUGAGGAAGGUCUUGGCCACAACCUUCACUGCGGAGAUCAAUCCUCGAUGAGGUGAGGAUCUUCCUGCACCCACACUCUUGUGAUUUCCAUUGCGACGUGGAUUAAGAGGAAGCAGUCACGGAGAUAUUUCUUCUACUCUCCAUCGGGUUUCUACGCGGCUGCUCCCAGUCGUUUAGUUGUUGAAGCGUCGCUCCCUUCGCAGCAUAAUCUCGAGUAGGCCUUUGGUUUGGAGACCUUGAUUAGAUCCUCCUCGCCCUUUGCCCAAGGUUGAGGAACAAAAGAUCCUUGAGAAUUUGCUACGCCGCGAUUCCCGAUGGAAGUAGUUAGGGGAAACCGUAUGGUUCAGUAUUUGGACAUGACGCCCCGCGUGACAAGGCGAAUGACCCCCUAUGCAUUUCAUAACUUGGCCUUCACUUUCUAAUCCAAUUGUUGUUGUUGUCGUUCUACCGAGAUUUGUGGGGAUGGUACUGUUGGCGGAGAGGUGGGCGGGGAAACACUCUUUGGCUUGAUUACCAAUGCUUGAGUCACUGAUGGGGAUUAGUCCCACCUCCGAGCAGGACGCAGUGUACAGGUUUAUUAUAUGUGACUUGCGGAUCGUAGUGGCGGGGUAGAGCUCAUAAUAUUUUUGGGGCACAAAAUUCGGCACUUUCGUGCACAAUUUUAGUAUGUAUUUUCCACAAACCUUAACUAGCCCUAAAAUAUUUAAUAUAUUUACAUUUUUUAUUUGGCGGUACAUGUGUACACAUAGUGGAGUCUCUUCCAGCUGGCAAAACUCUCGACAAGAUUUACCACUUGUAGAUUUUCCUUGAGUUUUAAGUUAGGUUUUCUAAGUUAAGGUGUGGAGUGAACAUUUCUUAUUUAUUUACGUAUGAAAAACGUUUUGUAUGAUCGUCCAUGAACAUUCUAAAACUUCAGAAAAAAAUGAUUUAGUUCUAUUCACAUUCUGUAAUUUAUUUCUAUCCGUCCUACGAAGAAAAUCUAAACCUUUGUAAGGAAAUUCUGAAAUUGCGCACAAAAAAGUGUUAAAUUUUGUAUGGUAUGCAAAUAAUAUGCUCGUAAACGAAAAUUAUUUUAAUAUUUUCCAUGAAAAAUCAUGAAGUUUGAAUAAAACUUUUAAGUCUCGCGUGAAAAUUCCGCAAAAGUUAUGGGUGAAACUUAUUAAACUAGGCGUCAAAAUUCUCAAAUCUUUCAAAAAAAUUAUUAUACUUAACUGACAUGACCACUGCAAGCCAUCCAGCGAAAAUUUUGCAUGAAUUAUGAUGUCAAAAUUUAUUUGGCACCAACCACGCAUGAAAAUAUUCUCCGAGAUUAAAAAUAUGAUGGUGAGUAAACCGUCAGAAUAUGCUUGACCGAUCGCCAUAUUACGAUUUGAACAAAUUCAUACAAACAUUUAUUAGGGUAAAAUUCAUAAAAUAAAAAAAUUAUAGUAAUGAGUAAUAUCUCAUUUGACAAUAAAUGAGAACUUUAAAGUGUGUAUCAGACGCUACAUAGAAAAAAUAUAACGUUCUGGACGAGAUUUUCUUAGUUUAAGUUUUAUGUCCUAUUCUCCGUAAAUUUCGAAAAAACUACAUACCUAACAAUUUGUCACCAUUUGUACGUGUUGGUUGACAAAUGAUAUUUUUUUUAUAAAUUUUUGACACAACCAAUAAAAAAAUAUGUACAGAAUAUGUAUAUACGGUGUAUGUACAUACGAAAAUAUUACUGAUUGUAAUUUUGUUUCAUAUUUUUCAGACAUGUAACAAAUACACGAUUGAUGAAUGAUGGGGAGCAAAUGUUGAAGGGAAUUUUUUUGUAAUUGGACGGAAAUAAACUUUUCUGGAUUAAUUUUAUUCGAAAAUACAUCUGUGGUUUACACCUGAAUAAAUAAAAUAAGCUGUGAAAACUUAUUACAAUUUUUUUGUGAGUAUAUAUAAUAACAUGUAUGUACGGUUAGUCUUGCAUGCUUUCAUAUUUACAAGAAAUGAGACAAAACAAUCUAAAUAGGUACAUGGAUUAAUAAUUUUCAUAUUUUUGCUCACCACAAUAAUUUUAAGUAAGUAGGUGGGAUAUUUAUUUAUUUGUAGAUCUAUUAAGAACUAAAGAUAUGUAAGGAUGCCGAGGCAUAAGAAAUCAUUUUAAAGAUAAAUAUGUACACUACACUCUGAAUAAUUUUUGAGAAGAAGGAUUAUCUCCUCUGGAGGUACAUACUGUGAAUGUGUACCGUGUUAGUAACAAUUUAUCAAUGGAAACUGUCUCCAGUCUGUGAUAUUUUUACUCCCAGAGCGUUGAUAUUAUGGUACCGCUGGGUGAUAAAAUAUCAUGGAAGGAAUUUGUCAUUUCCCGUUGAUAAAUUGUAGGGUUGCCGGUGAGAUGAGACGAGACAGUAGGAAAAUGAAAUGUCAUGUGAGACCGCCAAAAUGAGAUGAGAUGAGACGAGACGAACUAAGCAGCAAUUAUCUCAUCUCGUCUCAUCUCAUUACAGGAUAAUGAGAUGAGAGACAACUUUGACUAUCUCAUUUAAGUUUCAUCCCAUCUCACCAAGUAGUGAGAUGAGACGAGAGGAGGUCCGGGGAGAGGUGAUCUUUCUAAAAAAAAAUUAUUUUCCAUGCAUAUAUUUAUCAUUACCAAAUCAUGAGACAUUAUUUAUAGUUCUGAAGGAAUAAAAUUGACCAAUUUCAUCUUCCCCUUGAAUUUUUGUGACGCACUAACAAUUACGUAAGGCUGGUAGGGACACCAGGUAUUGUUCUUCAAACUUGAAACACUUCUCAUGGAAAUAUUUGUGGGUACUUGUUUAAUUCUGUAACAAUGCUCAUUAACCUAAAAAAAUUGAUUGUUUUAAAUAUUUGCAAUAAAUGCAAAUUUGUAUAAUAGUGAUUUUUAAAAAAUUCAAUGAUCGGUACGACAUUCUCGUUGAAAGUCGUGAAGGUUGCGUUCCUCAUUUAGGAGACAAACAUAAAGCAUGUGACAAAAUCUAUGGGUUUUAUGGCUAAGUUUAAAUUGAUUUAAUUUGAUGACACCCUUACUUGUAGGUGUGAGAGACAAGCAAUUGUAGAAUUUAAACAAAUUUGUAAGAAAAUAAUUGCACGAUUGGAAUUCCCACGUCACAUAAGGCCUUGGCACCUACCUGUGCAUUGUUUCGAAAAGCUUUAAAAUGUUUGGGGGCAGAGAAAUUGUUCUCAUUGUAUCCUCAGUUGUCAACCUUGAUCAAUAAUUUUGUAUCGACUUACCCCCCAAUAAAAUCCCUUGUAAACAAUCAUGUCUACCCACAUGGUCAUACUCCCCCUCGUUAUUUUGGGCAUGACAGUGGCCUCGUCAAUGGCCGGCCUAUCGGCGCAGGCUUACUUUGAUCGGUAUCAUAAGGAGAUUUUUGAAGGGGCGAAAUGUAACGCGGGGUGGAUCGAGUUGUCGCAAAGGGUGCAAGAUGCGGCACAUCGUUGUGCUAAGAAGGAAGUGAUGGGUAGCUACCUGGUGAGUUUAAAUUUGGCGCAUUUUUCAUACCAGGCAAAAAUGUGGGAUUAGCUGAAAAAACUAGUUUUUCACUGAUACCUACUGGUAGUAAGGUUUGAAUUUUCUCAAUUCAAACUUAGCACCGAAAGAAAUCUCACUUUACACAGGAUUUCCAAUCUUAACUAAUUUUUCUCACUUUACCCCAGUGUUUCUUGACCUGUGUGUCCCGCGAGUACGAGUACAUCACGCCGGGAACCACGCACGAUUUGGACAUGGGAAUGGCCGACCUCGUAGCGAUGGAGUCCUUCAACACGUCAACCCGAACAGGUCGCGAUUCUUACUUCAAAGUCUCGCUGAAACGAUACCACUGCGCCGAAGAGUUUGUCGUCGGAGAGGGAAAGAAGGUCGUCUUGGCGAUGAAAUACGAUGUCGCGGAGGAUUGUGAGACAGCCAGAGCAUUCUUCACGUGCACAUGGCCGACUCUGACUUGUGACAAAUACAAUAUCAAGGAAGAAACUACAGAAUAAUGGACCACGAGAUUUUCGACGGUUUGAUGGGUAGAGGUUUAAAACAUGUACGGGAUAAAUAUAUUAAUGUAAACCUAAAUAUCCGAGUUUUAAAUAAAUGUUUGGUUUGGUGGUCAAGAUA